rnacentral:rRNA from 1 species
AAUGAACGCUGGCGGCAGGCCUAAAACAUGCAAGUCGAACGCUGUAGCAAUACAGAGUGGCGCACGGGUGAGUAACAUGUGGGAAUAUGCCUUUUGGUACGGAACAACGUCUGGAAACGGACGCUAAUACCGUAUGGUCCCUUCGGGGUAAAGAUUUAUCGCCAAAAGAUUAGCCCGCACUAGAUUAGCUAGUUGGUGAGGUAAGAGCUCACCAAGGCGACGAUCUAUAGCUGGUCUGGGAGGACGAUCAGCAACACUGGGACUGAGACACGGCCCAGACUCCUACGGGAGGCAGCAGUUAGGAAUAUUGGACAAUGGGCGCAAGACUGAUCCAGCCAUGCCGCGUGAGUGAUGAAGGCCUUCGGGUUGUAAAACUCUUUAGCCGAUGAAUAUAAUGACUGUAGUCGGAAAAUAAGCCCCGACUAACUUCGUGCCAGCCGCCGCCGUAAUAC